GCUGAAGUCACUUACGGUUGAGACAAUAGAUCUCAUCUUAAGGGAGGAAGAGAAGAAGGGCGUUUACGUCACUCAAACGGAUCUUGUCAGAUGGGCCAAACGUCUUGAUAAGAGGAACAACACGCCUGAAAACUCUCUCGAGAUCUUUAGGUGGAUGGAUAAAAAGAAGAUGGUGUUUUCUCCCUAGGAACUUGAGAUUUAUGUGGAUCUUCUUGGCAAGGUUAAAGGAGAUGCAGCGGCUUCAGCGUACUUCAACAAAGUAGAGCCAAAUUUCGUUGAGAUGGACGUUGAUGCCAAAAACCGCCCUGCCUACUUGAAGGUCUUGCAUUGGUUCCACGUUGCAGACCAGAGUCGGACUAAAGGGCCAAGACCAUAUGUUCUUAAGCUCCCUAAACUUGAUGAUCCUGAAUGGGCUAAGAAUGCUACUCCUAUUACUCCUGCUCAAAAAAGAAAUCUUUUUUCCAAGCUCAGAUCCUCUGAAACCACCUGUGACGACCUUUUGAGAGAGAUGGAGGACCAAGGAUUCCGCAUCACCAAAGCAGAUCUAAACCGCUGGAUGAAACUCCUCGAAAAACAAGGACAAACAGAGAAAGUUCUAGAGAUCCGUUGCUUUAUGAACUGGAAACGCCUUGGCCUUUACUACUCUAGGAUGAGAACGCCUCUUUGAUACAGAAAGCUGAGGCACAGCCGCACAAGGAAGGAUCUGAGUUUGUGUCGCUUGAUCCUGUGAAAGGCGAGUGGAAGUUUCAUGUCUAUCAUUUUAGUUCCUAUAAACUUGACAAUGAAGGGAAAAUGAAUUCUAGGGUCUCAUCUCAGUGUUGGAAUUGCUUUGUGUAGGGAAUGUUGGAAUUAUGCAAUAAGAAACAGAACUCUACUCCAUUUGUUGUGUGUUUCGAUACCUUUCUUACAGACUUUUUGCAUGGCUAUGUAAAGAACCUAUUAUUCUACGUACGUCGAUUACUAGUGCUAGGAUUUAGCAGAGGAAACAGAGGGGAUAGUGAUCAAGAGUGAUAUGUAACAGUAUAUUACAUUUCUAUGAAAUGGAUUCGUUAGAAGCAACAUGAAAAAUUACUAAAUAAUAAUAAUUGAUGAUAUGUUGAGAACAAAAUAAGUU